AUGUCCCCCACUAUAGUAGUGGGGGACAUAUUGUUUUUGCCCUGUCUGUCUGUUGGUCUGUCUGUUUGCGCCAACUUUAACAUUUUGCAAUAACUUUUGCUAUAUUGAAGAUAGCAACUUCAUAUUUGGCAUGCAUGUGUAUCUCAUGAAGCUGCACAUUUUGAGUGGUGAAAGGUCAAGGUCAAGGUCAUCCUUCAAGGUCAGAGGUCAAAUAUAUGUGGCCAAAAUCGCUCAUUUUAUAAAUACUUUUGCAAUAUUGAAGAUAGCAACUUGAUAUUUGGCAUGCAUGUGUAUCUCAUGGAGCUGCACAUUUUGAGUGGUUAAAGGUCAAGGUCAAGGUCAUCCUUCAAGGUCAGAGGUCAAAUAUAUGUGGCCCAAAUCGCUUAUUUUAUGAAUACUUUUGCAAUAUUGAAGAUAGCAACUUGAUAUUUGGCAUGCAUGUGUAUCUCAUGGAGCUGCACAUUUUGAGUGGUGAAAGGUCAAGGUCAAGGUCAUCCUUCAAGGUCAGAGGUCAAAUAUAUGUGGCCCAAAUCGCUUAUUUUAUGAAUACUUUUGCAAUAUUGAAGAUAGCAACUUGAUAUUUGGCAUGCAUGUGUAUCUCAUGGAGCUGCACAUUUUGAGUGGUGAAAGGUCAAGGUCAAGGUCAUCCUUCAAGGUCAGAGGUCAAAUAUAUGUGGCCAAAAUCGCUCAUUUUAUGAAUACUUUUGCAAUAUUGAAGAUAGCAACUUCAUAUUUGGCAUGCAUGUGUAUCUCGUGGAGCUGCACAUUUUGAGUGGUGAAAGGUCAAGGUCAAGGUCAUCCUUCAAGGUCAGAGGUCAAUUAUAUGUGGCCAAAAUUGCUCAUUUUAUGAAUACUUUUGCAAUAUUGAAGAUAGCAACUUGAUAUUUGGCAUGCAUGUGCAUCUCAUGGAGCUGCUCAUUUUGAGUGGUGAAAGGUCAAGGUCAUCCUUCACAAGGUCAAGGUCAUCCUACAAUGUCAAACAUCAUAUAGGGGGACAUUGUGUUUCACAAACACAUCUUGUUUUUUAAAUGAUUGGAUGUUGGGCAAAAUGAUAUAUGAAGGUGCACAAAAAAUUCCAUUUCAUUUUACAAAUUUUAGGUAUGUCAAAUCCGCCAUACAUCUGAUCAUUUUUUUGUGGCCUAAUAUAUACAUUGGAUCAUAUAAUGUUGAUAUUGUUCCUCUGUGUAUAUAAUUGAAAUGGUAUGCUGUAUUUACAGAAGAAAGUAACCAUUUAUAUGUACAUGUAUCGUUCAAAUUUACAGACUUGCUAUACCAACUAUUUUGAACAUGUUAAUGUGAAUGUGAACAUUUUUUUUCAUAAGCUGACAAUAAAACAUGUUUUUGCUCCCUAAUAUAUGGUAAUAUUUAUUUUACAUGUAGAUUUAAUAACCAAUGAUGUCAUUUCUUUACACAUUGAAAUAAAGCUAAUUUCUGUUGUAUGUUUUUGUAUAAAAAAUAACAAACUUUUUCUGACAGAAAGUGUAUAUACUUAUUUGUUUUAAACACUAGUUAUAAAUUUUCACAGAUAUAAAAGCUGCUUGAUGCUUUGUUAUUUUGUUAAAACAAACUGAUUAAUAUGAUAAAUAAACAUAAAUUAUGUGUGUUGUUUUAAUUAGUGUGUCAGUGCUUUUAAUCAGUACUUAGUCAGUCAGAAGUCCAAAGUUAUUGAAAGUGUGUCAUUGAUUUUUAAAGAACUAUUUCAGUUGUGGUUAUUUCGUUACUAGAAAAGAAGUCUUUAGUAUAAAUAUGCAAGAAAAAUUUCAAUUUGUCAAUAAAUAUUAUGCUUUUAUUGUUGCAGAUUCUGCAACUACAGUUUGGAAUAAGAAUUUAAUGUUUUCUUUGAUUUUAGUUAAACCUUAUUAUGUUUUUUUAUCUAGAAUUGUUUCUUACAUUGUAACAAACUUUCCUUACUUGUUACGUUUUGUUUGUGUUUUACUGUUUUGUUGAUAAUAAUGUGUCUUUUUUAUAAACAUCUCAUUGCAGUAAUUAAAAUCAGACAUGUUUUUGCAUGCAUGUAUAUGUUAAACAUUUUCAUGAAACUUGAUCAGAAUAUUUGUCCCAAUCUUAUCUUUUCUUGUUCAAAACUGGGCUAUGUUAUUUAAAAAAAGAAGGUCAUUAGGUCAAUUUGAGAGAAAAGCUUGUGAAAACAUUUGUUUUAAAGUGUCUCAGAUGAAUAAGAUAUAAAUCCUAUGAAAUUAGAAAACAUUACUGCCAUGGAGCGAGACAGUGUUUUGUAUGUUGGUGGUCAAGAAGCCAUAUUGUUUACCCACUUAUUGUGAAUCUUACUCAGACCAAAUGUCUGGAAUGAGUUUAAAAAUGUUUGUCUGAUGUUUAAAAAGGUGCUGCAAGGUGUUUGGGUAUUUUUCCUGUUAUGUUUAUUGUGAAACCUCAAGCACACUACCUGAUCAGAGCAGUUAUGUACUUUCGGGUCUCAGAUGAGAACAUUAAGCCCACUUGUUGCCAUUGAUUAACAACUAACAUGUCAGUCUUGUCUCACUGCUGAAGUAUUGCCUAAUUUAUAGUCAUACUUUUGGGGUAAACAUAUAAUCAUUAUUGUUAUAUUUUCUUUAAACUUUGUUUUUCUAUGUACAUAUUAACAUGAUUUAAAAAAGGCGGUAUCAUACUUCAAAUAAAACUGGUAUUCACUCUUUAAUGACAUUAAGGAGAGUCAAAUUGUGUUGUUUAUUUGAUUUAAAAAAUUGGAAUCAAAUUUAAAAUUGAGUAUGAACCCCAAUAGGCAUGUAGGUUAUUUGUGACAACAGAAUAUAUGUACUUUACUUGUGGUUUAAAAAGUAUUUUUUUAUGUGUAAGUUUAAAAAAAAAUGUAUAAAUUCUAUUUUGUAUUUUCAUAAAUUGUUAUAUUUUACAGUGUUAUUUUUGUUAGUACAAGGGAGUAAACUCUUGUGUGUGCAAUCAUAUUUUGGGAAUGUGUUACUUCCCUUGUACAUUUGUCAACUUCCUUUGUAUUACUAUUUGUGUGUAGAAUUUUACUGGGCUUGACACAUUCACUUUAUACCAUUGAGUGUUGGUAUGUGGGUAUUUUAUUUAAAUAAAAAUAUUUGCUAAACA